rnacentral:rRNA from 1 species
GAUGAACGCUGGCGGCGUGCCUAAUACAUGCAAGUCGAGCGAACAGAUAAGGAGCUUGCUCCUUUGACGUUAGCGGCGGACGGGUGAGUAACACGUGGGUAACCUACCUAUAAGACUGGGAUAACUUCGGGAAACCGGAGCUAAUACCGGAUAAUAUUUCGAACCGCAUGGUUCGAUAGUGAAAGAUGGUUUUGCUAUCACUUAUAGAUGGACCCGCGCCGUAUUAGCUAGUUGGGAAGGUAACGGCUUACCAAGGCGACGAUACGUAGCCGACCUGAGAGGGUGAUCGGCCACACGGGAACGGAGCCACGGUCCAGACUCCUACGGGAGGCAGCAGUAGGGAAUCUUACGCAAUGGGCGAAAGCCUGACGGAGCAACGCCGCGUGAGUGAUGAAGGUCUUCGGAUCGUAAAACUCUGUUAUUAGGGAAGAACAUACGUGUAAGUAACUGUGCACGUCUUGACGGUACCUAAUCAGAAAGCCACGGCUAACUACGUG